UACGUAGGUGGCAAGCGUUAUCCGGAAUUAUUGGGCGUAAAGCGUGCGCAGGCGGUUUGAUAAGUUUAGGGUUAAAGACUGAAGCUCAACUUCAGCCCGCCCUAAAAACUGUUAGACUAGAGUGCAGGAGAGGGUAGUGGAAUUCCAUGUGUAGCGGUAAAAUGCGUAGAUAUAUGGAGGAACACCAGUGGCGAAAGCGGCUACCUGGCCUGUAACUGACGCUCAUGCACGAAAGCGUGGGGAGCAAAUAGG
rnacentral:rRNA from 1 species